GCUGGGCACAGUGGCGCUGUAGUCCCAGCUACUCGGGAGGCUGAGGCUAGAGGAUCACUUGAGUCCAGGAGUUCUGGGCUGUAGUGCGCUAUGCCAAUCAGGUGUCUGCAUUAAGGUUGGCAUUAAUAUGGUGACCUCCCAGGAGUGGGGAACCACCAGGUUGCCUAAGGAGGGGUGAACUGGCCCAGGAUGGAAACAGAGCAGGUCAAAACUCCUGUGCUGAUCAGCAGUGGGAUUGCGCCUGUGAAUAAUAGCCACUGCACUCCAGCCUGGGCAACAUAGGAAGACCCUGUCUCUC
ensembl:misc_RNA Metazoa_SRP Metazoan signal recognition particle RNA